rnacentral:tRNA from 1 species
GUGUAUUUAGUAUAAGAAAUAUUGUAAAUUUAGGUUUUACAGAUUGAGUUACAUU